GCAGUUUGGGUCGUCCGCAUGCCGCCGUCGUGGGCUCGGCUCUGAAAGAGGUGGCCGAGGGCUGACGGGACUGUGAUGGAAGCGGCGUCCUUCCCCACGCGAGCGGCAGGACACCGGCGCUUGCAGAGCGCGUGCUGGCCGACUCCGGCCCGGCCUUCAGGCGAGCCUUCCGGGGUGCCAUCGCCGUCGGGGCCCUGAGGGUGAGGCUGUGAUGCUCUUGUGUCGGGUGUCGUGCGGCGACCGGCGCCGCGCUCCGCCACCCCACCACCACCGCC